AAAAUGAGAAGGCAGUUACUUGGAAAUUCAGCAGAAAAUCCAGUAGAACAGACUUAUAAACUCUAAUCUCACUGUACUAUUUAACCCAUUCAACAAUCAAAAUCUCAUCUCCUGUCUAUUUUUUUUUAUCAAAUCAAAGUAUUUCAUACAUUUUUUAGGAACAAGUGUUUAAAUUUUGAAGGUGGGCGAAGAAAUGAUAACUCGUUCUAAACUCGUUGAGCAACUCCGAGACUACCAGAUCCGAUCUCAACACAAGUGUCCAGCUCUCAAUUUCUUCUCUCCUAAACCACUUCUUUCAUCCUGGGGUGAUGUUGCUGUGGCUGUCUUUUGGGCCUUAUUGUUUAGCAUGCUUGUCAUAUCAUCCUAUGUGGCUUUUUACUUCAGGCACUUCUGGAUUUCAUUCUUCAUUUUGUGCCUUAGUAUUUUCCUUCCACUACGCUUAAGAAGUUGUAGGCAGGCAGUUGCCAAGAAGAGGGAUAGGAGAUUGUUAUUACCGCUGUCCAUGUGAACCACCUGUUAUAGUAAAGUACUUGCAGCUAUAUGAUUGGGCUAACAAAAGGGCUCAUUACUCAUUUUAACUCAUGUGGCCUCUACUAAUCAAUUAUAGAGCAUGGAGCGCUAAUCUUGGUCAACGGGCCCUAAACCCGCCUCUCUGAGAUGGAUGGUACAGUUCCUUCCUACUCCUCCUUAACCAUACACUAAAGGCAUGAGAAUUUGCAAAAACUCCCGUUUCUGACAUGUAUACGCUAUAUAUUUGAGCCAACUUAAGAGGCACUACCUGUUAGUUUUUCCUUUCA